UAUCCCUAGAUGGCCCCUGCCUCCUGUGACAUUUUGGGCAUCUUGUGACAUUCUGGGCCACAUCGCUGCUGAGCCCCAGCUGCCUGCAGGCUGGUACGUGUUGCAAGCUGGCUGCCCGCAGGAGAGAUCAAAGGGAAGUUUGGACCUAGAAGCCACAGCAUUAAAGCUUUCUUUGUGACUGUGAAACACUAAGUGGAAAUGGAUUGCCCAAGGAUUUAUCGUGCCUUUGACAAGAUGUAACUAAAACUGAUGGAGAGUUUCCUCGUGCUGGGACAGCAUUCUUGGAACAAGCUGCAAGGCUAGUCUGAGGUGACUGAUGGUGAAAUGAGAAGAGCACCAUCAAAACAACAAUCCAUGGAGCACCUUCCCUCUGCAGCAUGGCUUCCUGUCUAAACACACUUCCACCUUUAAAGCCUCCUGUGUCAAAUUAAUUGCUACAACUUCUGUUUCUUCCCACAUAUUUACAAUUCCAUCAGCACUCAUUUCUCUGUCAAAAACAGUAAAAUGUCAUACCCAGAGUUAGCUCAGUGGAGCUGAAGUAAAGCAGACUGCAAGCUCUACAAAGCGAUCUCCAUGUGUAAGUUGCUUCACAUUUUUAUGAAACCUUUUUCCCAGAAUUAGUUUCUCCCUAGUCUGAUUGUCCUGACAAUUCUGAACUAUCUGUUACUUCCUCUAAAUAAAAAUCUCUACUUAAAACAAACAAGAAUUACAUGUUGUACACUUUUUAAUCCUUUUCUGAUUUGGUGAUGCCAAGAGUAAGUGCUUUUAAGGGACAUGAAAUACAGGGGUUUAGGUCUGGUGGGUGCAUUGGGAAGAGGCACCAGGGCCUGGGUGUUACUCUGCAGUAGUCAUGAUGAGACUGAUUCUUUUUAUUGCUUCGAAAGACAGUUGCUUACAAAGUACAAGAGCACCUGAUCUAGGAAUUUCCUGUGACUCCAAAUGAACAGCAUUAAAUUACGCAGUCGGGGGUUACAGACAGGUGGAAGUUUACAUGGUGACUAACCAACUUAACAAAACUUGGUACUAGUGAGAGUCACAAAUAAAUUUAUCUCAGGGUUGAUGUGCCCUUCUGAAAUGGAGUGGAACAAUAUCACUGUUAUUUCUAUGUACAGAAACUUCAGGUGUGACAUUCAGUGCCUCAGGAUCUUGGCACCAAUCUCAAGCUCACCCAAGUACAAUUUGCAGAAAAAACGCACUCAUCACUUUAUGAAAAUCUGCUUCAUUACAUUA